CAGCCGCCGCGGGAAUACGUAGGUGGCAAGCGUUGUCCGGAAUUAUUGGGCGUAGAGGGCUCGCAGGCGGUUUCUUAAGUCUGAUGUGAAAGCCCCCGGCUCAACCGGGGAGGGUCAUUGGAAACUGGGAAACUUGAGUGCAGAAGAGGAGAGUGGAAUUCCACGUGUAGCGGUGAAAUACGUAGAGAUGUGGAGGAACACCAGUGGCGAAGGCGACUCUCUGGUCUGUAACUGACGCUGAGGAGCGAAAGCGUGGGGAGCGAACAGGAUUAGAUACCCGCGUAGUCCCUGUCUCUUAUAC
rnacentral:rRNA from 1 species